GAGCUAACGGCUAACUGACUAAACCAGCUAAGAGCUAACUAGCUCAGAGCUAACGGCUAACUGACUAAACCAGCUCAGAGCUAACGGCUAACUGACUAAACCAGCUAAGAGCUAACUAGCUCAGAGCUAACGGCUAACUGACUAAACCAGGUAAGAGCUAACGGCUAACUGACUAGCGGCUAACUAGCUCAGAGCUAACGGCUAGCAACUCUUUAACCAGCGGCGCGCGGGGUGUAAAGACAUGUUAAAGCAUUAAAACAAUAUGAAUUGUUGAGAUACAGAGAUGCUGCUGAUGAGUCCGCGUGGCUGUCAGUAUCACAGGAUGUCCAUGAGAUAACGUUAGGAGGACUAAA